AGCAAACACAACCUUCCCAGAGAGUGAGAAAAAGUUAUCAAUAAGCUUCUGUCAAGCCCCAGGAGCAAAGAGAGAAACGAAAGGGGAGAGACCAAUGGACUAGAUGGAGAAAAGAAGAGAAGGCUUCUCCCCAGCAUCACCCACAUCACAAUCAGACCAGUGACUUCCAGGCUCCAGAUUCAGCUUCAAAUUUCCAGUCCAUUGGUCUCAAGUGUACUUUAAUGGAACAUGAAGACAUCGCUUUUGUUCUAUAAUACAGAUGCACACCGCUCAGCUAAAAAGAUGAUGAAGCAGGGAGCCAGCUGUGUCAAUGGGAACCUUAGCUUCCUGUCUUUCCCUGCAUGAACAGCACUACUCCAUACAAGCUGAAGAGGAAAGCUCAGGCUCUUUGGUGUCCCACUGGAUAUUAGACCAGGUUCACCUGCCCAAUGUCUUUCCCGACUGAAGAAUGGGUGGACAGCCGAAACACGUGGUCUCCCCUAUUUGCAAAAGUGGUUCUUGUCAGAUAUUGGCCAUCUAUUUGUUGAAAAAGCACACAGUGGCUGAACCAUACUUAUUGGCAAUUCAUCUGAGCUGCUUGCAAAGAGGAGGCUGUUAUUACAAAUUCAGGAACAGGUUCAAGCAGAAAACCAGACCGGAAGACAGAUGGAGACUA